rnacentral:sRNA from 1 species
GUAAAUGGAACAAAAGCUAAGAGCGCGGCAUCGUGCCGUCGCGCUUUAAAGCCGCCACGACCUGUGGC